rnacentral:piRNA from 1 species
UAGAAGAUAAGUGACCGUGUUUGAUG